AUUGAACGCUGGCGGCAUGCCUUACACAUGCAAGUCGAACGGCAGCACGGGAGCAAUCCUGGUGGCGAGUGGCGAACGGGUGAGUAAUAUAUCGGAACGUGCCCAGUCGUGGGGAUAACGUAGCGAAAGCUACGCUAAUACCGCAUACGAUCUAUGGAUGAAAGCGGGGGAUCGCAAGACCUCGCGCGAUCGGAGCGGCCGAUAUCAGAUUAGGUAGUUGGUGAGGUAAAGGCUCACCAAGCCGACGAUCUGUAGCUGGUCUGAGAGGACGACCAGCCACACUGGGACUGAGACACGGCCCAGACUCCUACGGGAGGCAGCAGUGGGGAAUUUUGGACAAUGGGCGCAAGCCUGAUCCAGCAAUGCCGCGUGCAGGAUGAAGGCCUGGUGUAAC
rnacentral:rRNA from 1 species